rnacentral:lncRNA from 12 species
CCGAAGACGUACACCCCCCACCACAGUCACCUCCACCCACACCCCCGCUUCCGACCCCGGCCAAGCUCCCGAAUCUCCCCCGGGGACCCCCCACCCCGCAGCCCACCCACCCGACCGCACUGCUCCUCACCUGAGGGGCCCGGCCGCGUCGGGCCUCCGGGGAGGGCUGCGAGUGUCUGUGCGACCUCCGCACGUGUCCACCGCGCGCCGAGCAGGCUCUUUUCAGGUCUUGGACUGUCAUCGGCUGCAGGUUUGAAUGCGGGCGUGCAGCUUCCUGAGAGGUGGCCUUCCUGAGAGGGGUCGGAUGGGGAGAGGCCACACCAGACACCCAUG